AAUAGAUACCCUGGUAGUCCACGCCGUAAACGAUGAGUGCUAAGUGUUGGAGGGUUUCCGCCCUUCAGUGCUGCAGCUAACGCAUUAAGCACUCCGCCUGGGGAGUACGGUCGCAAGACUGAAACUCAAAGGAAUUGACGGGGGCCCGCACAAGCGGUGGAGCAUGUGGUUUAAUUCGAAGCAACGCGAAGAACCUUACCAGGUCUUGACAUCUCCUGACCGCCCUGGAGACAGGGUCUUCCCUUCGGGGACAGGAUGACAGGUGGUGCAUGGUUGUCGUCAGCUCGUGUCGUGAGAUGUUGGGUUAAGUUCCGCAACGAGCGCAACCCUUGGUUCUAAUUGCCAGCAUUGAGUUGGGCACUCUAGAGCGACUGCCGGCGACAAGUCGGAGGAAGGUGGGGAUCACGUCAAAUCAUCAUGCCCCUUAUGACCUGGGCUACACACGUGCUACAAUGGAUGGUACAAAGGGCAGCAAAGCGGCGACGCAUGAGCGAAUCCCAGAAAACCAUUCUCAGUUCGGU
rnacentral:rRNA from 1 species